rnacentral:pre_miRNA from 9 species
UUUCGAUAGCGUAAAAGUUAGCUCAACUUUGUAUGGAGUUGGAACGCUAACCUACGUUUUCCGCUAGGGGCGCUGUUCCAACUGCAUACAAAUUUGAGCUAACUUUUACGCAAUCGA